AGUGAACGCUGGCGGUAGGCCUAACACAUGCAAGUCGAACGGCAGCACAGUAAGAGCUUGCUCUUACGGGUGGCGAGUGGCGGACGGGUGAGGAAUACAUCGGAAUCUACUUUUUCGUGGGGGAUAACGUAGGGAAACUUACGCUCAUACCGCAUACGACCUACGGGUGAAAGCAGGGGAUCUUCGGACCUUGCGCGAUUGAAUGAGCCGAUGUCGGAUUAGCUAGUUGGCGGGGUAAAGGCCCACCAAGGCGACGAUCCGUAGCUGGUCUGAGAGGAUGGUCAGCCACACUGGAACUGAGACACGGUCCAGACGCCUACGGGAGGCAGCAGUGGGGAAUAUUGGACAAUGGGCGCAAGCCUGAUCCAGCCAUACCGCGUGGGUGAAGAAGGCCUUGGGGUUGUAAAGACCUUUUGUUGGGAAAGAAAAGCAGCAGGUUAAUACCCCGCUGUUCUGACGGUACCCAAAGAAUAAGCACCGGCUAACUUCGUG
rnacentral:rRNA from 1 species